GUGCGCGUAAUUUAACCAAAAUGUUAGAUUGUGAUUCUGAAAUUAGGGGUGAGAACCCCCUCGCCCACC
rnacentral:tRNA from 1 species